AUGGAAUCUGCCAAUUUCGAUUAUUAGCAGAUGUAUUGUAUGGAAUUCUAUUUUGAGUGUUUAACUCUGAUUGUCCCAUCAUUUCUGCACCGUUUGGAGGCUUGUAAGAAUCCCUCGUUGAGCCAUCGAAUGUUUCUCUGGAAGGAUCCAUAUCGCAUUGAGGAUGGGAGAUUUGGUGAAGUCCUAUGGUGGUGGUGGCCUUAAGGACGAGAUUGAGCUUUCUGACUAUUCCUGGCCACAGUAAACGAUGCUAAGGAAUGCUUUGUGCAGUGGAGCGAGAUUGCGUUAAAUAUUUGGGGUGGUGUUGUUUGCUUGGCAAAUGCCGCAAAAGAAAAAGCCACCUCUAUCUCUUACUUUAAAAAAGGUAUCAUUCAGUUUUUACAGAUAUUAAAUCCAUUCUGUUAUACACAAUUGGUAUUCAUAUACAUUGCUAGCAUAUCCUUUAAAUUUAUUGGAUUAUACAUUUUUUACAUGGUAUCUUUUAGUACCAAAGGGUUAACGUUGCAUUUUAAAAUUUGUUUUUAAUAGAUGAUUAAAGUAGCUCAAAUUGUCAAGGAGUUUAACAGUUCGACUUAAAAACACAGUACUUGUUCCGGAUGCUUUCAGUAUCUUAUAUAGCAGUCUAAUUACAAUGUCUAAGAAUAAAUUUAUACUAUUCUAUGGCACAAAAAUGCGUUUCACCUUCCCUGUAGACUACUUACUAGACUUUAAAGAAUGUUUAUGAUAUACCUGUUCUGUAUACGGUUUACAAACUAAAGUAUGUAGUAUGCUUGAAGUUUACACAGCGUUUGACAAUAGAUCGCAAGUCGUAUACAACAACAUCAGGUAUGUUGUCAUUAAAGGAUAAUAUGAAUGGAUGAUAUAGCAUUAAAUGGAUUAUUAUUAAAUCUGAUUUUGAAGAGCUGAACCUUUCAAAAAAGAUAUGCAAAAGGAAGCACUUAAAAAUCACUUACUAUCGUUGACGGAUCAUUUGAAAUAAAAUAUGUAAUUAACCACUUUUUGUAUGUUUACAUUUCGUUCCUUGACAUACUAGAGUAAUUCUGUUACUUGACUGUACUUUUGAAUGUGUUACGUCCGUAUUG